rnacentral:lncRNA from 1 species
UUUAGCCUCCUAAAGGGAAUGAUGUACAACUUAAGCCUAAAUAAUGAUAAUUUUGCGAAUAGUAAAUCUAAUGCAUGUAUUUUGAGUUUGUUUGUGUUUUAACUUAAUUCUGGAUAUGAACAUUGAAUUAUAUUAACCUUCACAAACAGUAAUUAUGGGUGGUUGGAAAUUGGAGGUGUUCAAAAUGGGUAUUUAUAUGUUGUUUCCUGUUGGUUUGUUUUAUUAUUUUAAUCAGCCACAGCACUUUGAAGACUGGGUGGUUAAGACUCGCAGAGAAAUGUAUCCGCCAGAAAGUAAAAUGCACAGAAAAGAAAUUGAAGAAUGCAUUAAACAAUUUCAUAAAAAGAAAGAUGAAGAACUACGAAAACUUCUAGAACAAGAAAAUGCUAAAGAGUAAAUUUCUAUAAAGGGUGAAUAAGUGCUAAGGCUUGGGAAGAGACAAAAGAAGUAUAUGUUUCACAAUUCUGUAGAAGUGUAGUCUUCUUUUGUGGCACACUGUAAACAAAUUGCAGUGUUUUAAAAAAUUUAACCAUGUAACUGCAUUUUCCUGUUUAGUAAAACGUAAAUAUGUACAUUGAGUAAACCAACAGUAGCAUUGUGACUUUUAUGCUGCUCAUGCAUUAAACAGCCAAUGUAUUGGAAAAGACAUGGUUGUAGAAGUAAAAAAUUGAGUUAUAAAUUGUUUCCUUUUGAAUGGUGUUACACUAUGGAACAGCCUAACCUGCUUUGAGUUUAACAAAACUACUUACAUUUUUUGUAGUGUAAUUGUUUUCAUACUAGAAUCCAUGGAAUGGAAUUCUAAAUGGUUUUCAAACAUAUAUUACAGGAAUUGUGUUGAGAGUCACACAGUAUUACUUCUACUUAUUUCAGAGAAUUGACUUAUAUUAACUUCUGAUCAAAGCAAGCUACCUACUGAAACUAAAAAUAAACCCGGUAAUAAAAAUAGUUAACUAAAUCUAUUGUUCUUACUUGCAAUGAUUAGAGUGCAUUGUUUCAUCAAUUAAGUAUUAUUUCUGUUAGUGAUAUUUCUGGCUGUAAUCAAAAUAAUGUAAAAAUGUAUAGUUCUGAUUUCUUACGUGAAACUACUCAUAAGUUUACUACACCACAGAUAAGAACCAAGGUAUAAAAGUUUAGACUAAUGUUCAGUAUUUAUAAACAUAAGCCUAUAUGGAAGAACUUAUUAUAUCUGUAUUGCAAAUAAAGCAGAUGUGGGUACAGAGAAGUGUAAUGGAAAAUGAACACUAGAAAAGUGUAAAGAUGUUGGUUAGUGGUAUGGCAAGUCAAGCAGUCAUUUCAGGGCAAGUAGUGAAAGUGUAUGUCACUGUAAAUGUUCUCCUCCUUUAUCUAAAUCUUCUACUAAUCAAAAUCCACCUUCAUAAAAUCACAUUAGUUGAAACACAUAAGUUGACAAAAGUUUAAAGGCCUGUUUGAAAGAACUGGAUUAGAUGAGAAGAUAAAAUACUAUGAAAGUGAAGUGAAAGUUAAACUAUUCUAUGUUGGCAAAAGAUGUUACACAGCCAACAAAGUGACAAAAGAAGUAGUGCUUUAAUAAUUAAAAAAAAGAAUAUUGUGACAAACAAAUUUAAAUAUUCUUUCCAGUUAAUGUAGGACAGAAAGUGUAUAACUUAGUGCAUCUUGUUUACAGAUAUAACUGAAAACAAUAAACAAGGAUUUCUGAGGAUAACCUGGAUAUCUUGAAACAUGUAGAGUUUUAGACCUUUGGUGGUCUCAGAAUAAAGAUUUUAAGUUGUGUAUUUUAAAAA